UACAAGCUGCAAUGUACGUAUUUAAUUAAGUUUUAACCUCUAAUGAUAUAAUAGGGAGUUUUACAUCGGAACAAUAAUGUCGUGCCGCCAUAGCGUAGCGGAAGACAGGAUGGUUUCUGCAAACACCCACUUGGUGAAGUGGUGGUUUAAAACUUUUUAUAAUCAAUACGGCAAUUGUGGCCUGUAA
rnacentral:other from 2 species